CUACCAAGACAAUUCGCUGAAAGAGUCGUCCAUCGUCUGUCAAUAUUCGCCUCCGUCGAAGCUCAAUUGAACACCGUAGCAUUAAAACUGAUAGUCUAGACACCACAGCAGACCUUUCAGGCGAAUCGUCGUUGCCAUCUCCAGACUCUGCCAUUGGUGGUACUCCUGGCCUCACCCCUGACUUGGAGUUACCUGGCUACCAUACACCCAUAGGAAAGGUAACGGUUGAAGAGAAACAAAUCAGCGAAAAAAAACAGAAAAAAAACACACCAGUGAAUGCUGCACCAGUGGUGAAGGAGCUGUUUUCCAAAGAUAUAAAUCCUCCGCAGAAAGAACCCCAGCAGACGGUGGUAGGAAAUGUCAUGGAAUGUGAAGAGGAUGAAGAUGCUGACACUCCUGAGUCUGAAACUGCCAGUACUUGCAUCCUCAUCCUCAUCUUCACUCUUGGUCAUGGAGAAGGGUGAGAGUGUCCCUACAGAUCACACCCAGAUUGAAGCUCCAACUCUAAGUCUUAUAGAUUAUGAAUCCAACACUAAAAAAUCUGACUCCAGAGGGCAUGCACCCACUGGCAUUAUUGAUAGCAUGGAGGCACAACCUAUGAGACAAACUCAAGUACCUCUUCUCCCAACUCUUGCUGUUAAAAAGGAGUCCCUGUUCACCAUGGGUGAGCCCAAGAGUCUGGGAGAAGCCCCUAAGGGUAUAAGUCAACCAAAGGCGGACAUCGAGAGUCCUGGCAAAAAACAGAGUGUAACUACUCUGACAGAUGUAGAAGAAUUUAUAGCGGAUGUUUU